AUUGAACGCUGGCGGCAUGCCUUACACAUGCAAGUCGAACGGCAGCACGGGUGCUUGCACCUGGUGGCGAGUGGCGAACGGGUGAGUAAUAUAUCGGAACGUACCUUAUUGUGGGGGAUAACGCAGCGAAAGCUGUGCUAAUACCGCAUAAUCCCUAAGGGGGAAAGCGGGGGACCGUAAGGCCUCGCGCAAUUAGAGCGGCCGAUACCUGAUUAGCUAGUUGGUGAGGUAAAGGCUCACCAAGGCAACGAUCAGUAGCUGGUCUGAGAGGACGAUCAGCCACACGGGGACUGAGACACGGCCCUGACUCCUCCGGGAGGCAGCAGUGGGGAAUUUUGGACAAUGGGGGCAACCCUGAUCCAGCAAUGCCGCGUGAGUGAAGAAGGCCUUCGGGUUGUAAAGCUCUUUUGUCAGGGAAGAAACAGCAGCUCUAACACAGUUUGCGAAUGACGGUACCUGAAGAAUAAGCACCGGCCAACUACGUGCCAGCCGCCGCCGUAA
rnacentral:rRNA from 1 species